UGAGGUCAGUGUGAUUUUAAACUGAAAUCAGCAUGAUUCUGAACUGAAAUCAGUGUGAUUCAGAACUGGAUCAUAGUAUUUCAGAACUGAUAUCUGUGUGAUUCUUAACUGAGACCCAUGUGAUACUGAACUGAGGUCAGUGUGAUUUUAAACUGAAAUCAGCAUGAUUCUGAACUGAAAUCAGUGUGAUUCAGAACUGGAUCAUAGUAUUUCAGAACUAUCUGUGUGAUUCUUAACUGAGACCCAUGUGAUACUGAACUGAGAUCAGUGUGAUUUUAAACUGAAAUCAGCAUGAUUCUGAACUGAAAUCAGUGUGAUUCAGAACUGGAUCAUAGUAUUUCAGAACUGAUAUCUGUGUGAUUCUUAACUGAGACCCAUGUGAUACUGAACUGAGGUCAGUGUGAUUUUAAACUGAAAUCAGCAUGAUUCUGAACUGAAAUCAGUGUGAUUCAGAACUGGAUCAUAGUAUUUCAGAACUAUCUGUGUGAUUCUUAACUGAGACCCAUGUGAUACUGAACUGAGGUCAGUGUGAUUUUAAACUGAAAUCAGCAUGAUUCUGAACUGAAAUCAGUGUGAUUCAGAACUGGAUCAUAGUAUUUCAGAACUGAUAUCUGUGUGAUUCUUAACUGAGA